GACGAACGCUGGCGGCGUGCUUAACACAUGCAAGUCGAACGGAAAGGCCUGCUUUCCCUUGUGGAUUGCGGGUACUCGCGUGGCGAACGGGUGAGUAACACGUGAGUGAUCUGCCCCCAACUUGGGUAUAAGCCUGGGAAACUGGGUCUAAUUCCCGAUAGGACUGCAGGGUGGUGCCUGUGGUGGAAAACGAUUUUCUAGUGGUUGGGGAUGAGCUCGCGGCCUAUCAGCUUGUUGGUGGGGUAAUGGCCUACCAAGGCGGCGACGGGUAGCCGGCCUGAGAGGGUGGACGGCAACAUUGGGACUGAGAUACGGCCAAGACUCCUACGGGAGGCAGCAGUGGGGAAUAUUGCACAAUGGGCGGAAGCCUGAUGCAGCGACGCCGAGUGGGGGAUGACGGCCUUCGGGUGGUAAACUCCUUUCGACCGCGAGGAAGCCACCUGGUUGGAAGGGUGGUGACGGUAGUGGUAGAAGAAGCACCGGCUAACUACGUG
rnacentral:rRNA from 1 species